AAAUAACUUGCGUAAAUUGGCAAGUGUUCAAUAUGAUAUCAAAUAAAGGUUGGACCUUUGGACUUACCCCCUGAGUAGUGAGCAAAUUACAGGACGGGAACCCAGAGAGACAUCUUUUUCAUCUGCUUCGUCGACGGAGCUCUCACGGAUAUGAAGCUGUUAUUGAUUGCCAUGUUUGCAACACUGAUUGUCAUGGUUCAGUCAUGCGGAGGUGGUGGGGAUUCACAUACCAAACCAGGGGAGGACGACUUCGGAGGACGAAGAAGGGAAUGCGAUGCCGAUAGAUGCUCGAACGCCGGCCAGUGUGGCGAAGACUGCUACUGCAAGGCUUCUGGAGGCAACGCCCUAGCCAACAGGUGCGCGCUGAAGAAACUGGACUGAAUGUUUGCCGUGGCUCAUGGCGUCUACAGUUCCUAUGAACAUGCUUAUUCCCACCACUAAUGCUCGCAUAAAGUGUCCAAUAAACGCCAUUUAUAG